rnacentral:rRNA from 1 species
CCUACGGGUGGCAGCAGUGGGGAAUAUUGCGCAAUGGGCGAAAGCCUGACGCAGCGACGCCGCGUGAGGGAUGAAGGUCUUCGGAUCGUAAACCUCUGUCAGCAGGGAAGAACGGUCACUGUGCUAAUCAGCAGUGAAUUGACGGUACCUGCAAAGGAAGCACCGGCUAACUCCGUGCCAGCAGCCGCGGUAAUACGGAGGGUGCGAGCGUUAAUCGGAAUUACUGGGCGUAAAGCGCUCGUAGGCGGUAUGUCAAGUCAAGGGUGAAAUCCCCGCGCUCAACGUGGGAACUGCCUUUGAAACUGGCAAACUGGAGUGUGUGAGAGGAUAGUGGAAUUCCAGGUGUAGGAGUGAAAUCCGUAGAUAUCACACAGAACACCGAUUGCGAAGGCAUCUCACGAAUCCGCGAUUGACGCUGAUGCACGAAAGCGUGGGUAUCAAACAGGAUUAGAUACCCUAGUAGUC